rnacentral:ncRNA from 1 species
GAGAGCCGUAUACAUGGAGACAUGUACGUACGGUUCGGAGGCGAGUACAUGGAAACCUACUAUAGUAAUAUAGCAAGGCGCUGGGUACUUAGCCUAC